rnacentral:lncRNA from 1 species
GAUACAUACUACAUGAUAUACAUACAAUAAAAUAAACAUCAUUUGGCGUUUAGCCGUCUCGGUUGUUGUCACAGUGAUUGAUUAAUUCCCAAGCUUGAGAAUCAUAUCAAUCGGAAGAUCUGAGUUCAUGCUUGAACUUCUGAUAACGAUAGGACACUAACUUUAAGUUCAUGCUUGAACUUACUGAUGGACCUGUUCUUGUUUAUGACUACAAGCAUGUAGAUCAAAAACGUCAGUGAUAGAAGUCCAUGCAUGGACUGACGUCAGGACUGACUUAGAACAGGGAUCUGUUGUUAGUUAGUGUCCGGAAACUUCUAGCACGUGUCUGGUCUAUUUAAAAUUUAACCAAAUUACUGCUAUAAGUCCCAUUAACUGUGACAAGCAACUUAUACAUCAAUAACUCUGCAUCAAAUUUGGGGAAAUUGAGUUAAUAAUAACGAAAAUAUGCCAAAAUACAGUUGAUGACUGGUAUUUAAAGGAGACAACUGAACCCCAAAUGAAGAUGGUUACUGUAAAUUCAAAUUUUACUGAGUGCGUAUGGCAAUGAUAAAUUUCGCAUUAAUAGAUGAUACUUAUAUUCUACAGAUUUUCUAAAAUCGCAAUGAUAAAUGCACGCAUCAAUUCUGAAUUUACAGUAUCUUUGAACAAAGAUUUGUAACUAUAUUAAUAUAUCUGAAUAUGUGAAUUGAUAUACAAAUAAACUUAGUAUCAGAUGCGAAUAGAUGAAUAGCAAUUAAAACGUCCAUCACUAAUCGUUUAUCAGUAUGUAACUCCGGCGUGCUGGAAAACAUUGUAAAAUUUUUAGUGAUAAGCACAAGUGUUCUGAUUAACUACUGUCUAUCUCAGCGGGUCGUGAGAAGAAAUGUUACGACUUGAUGAAAUCAAAUGUUCUGCUUGACCUUAACAUAACUUUCAUAAACAUG